rnacentral:rRNA from 1 species
GACGAACGCUGGCGGCGUGCCUAAUACAUGCAAGUCGAGCGAGCUUGCCUAGAUGAUUUUAGUGCUUGCACUAAAUGAAACUAGAUACAAGCGAGCGGCGGACGGGUGAGUAACACGUGGGUAACCUGCCCAAGAGACUGGGAUAACACCUGGAAACAGAUGCUAAUACCGGAUAACAACACUAGACGCAUGUCUAGAGUUUGAAAGAUGGUUCUGCUAUCACUCUUGGAUGGACCUGCGGUGCAUUAGCUAGUUGGUAAGGUAACGGCUUACCAAGGCAAUGAUGCAUAGCCGAGUUGAGAGACUGAUCGGCCACAUUGGGACUGAGACACGGCCCAAACUCCUACGGGAGGCAGCAGUAGGGAAUCUUCCACAAUGGACGAAAGUCUGAUGGAGCAACGCCGCGUGAGUGAAGAAGGGUUUCGGCUCGUAAAGCUCUGUUGGUAGUGAAGAAAGAUAGAGGUAGUAACUGGCCUUUAUUUGACGGUAAUUACUUAGAAAGUCACGGCUAACUACGUGCCAGCAGCCGCGGUAAUACGUAGGUGGCAAGCGUUGUCCGGAUUUAUUGGGCGUAAAGCGAGUGCAGGCGGUUCAAUAAGUCUGAUGUGAAAGCCUUCGGCCCAACCGGAGAAUUGCAUCAGAAACUGUUGAACUUGAGUGCAGAAGAGGAGAGUGGAACUCCAUGUGUAGCGGUGGAAUGCGUAGAUAUAUGGAAGAACACCAGUGGCGAAGGCGGCUCUCUGGUCUGCAACUGACGCUGAGGCUCGAAAGCAUGGGUAGCGAACAGG